AUUUUUUCAUUGAUUUUUAGAGAGAGUGGAAGGAAGGGGGAGAAACAUAUCUACUGGUUGCAGGGCCUGGUCCGGGUUCCGGGGAUUGACAAUGCCUGCAACCGAGGUAUAUGCCCUUGACCAGAAUCGAACUUGGGACCCUUCAGUCCAUAGGUCGACGCUCCAUCCACUGAGCCAGACCAGCUAGGACAGCCUCCCUCUUUCUUAGAAAGACUUGUGAUUACAUGUGGGCCCCCCUGGAUAAUCCAGGGUAAUCCCUGCAGUCCCAGAGCCCUCGCUCACAUCCGCACAGUCCCUUUUGCUGUCAGAGGUAGCCUACGUUCAAGGUCGCAGGGAUCAAGGCCUGGUUGUCUUUGGGGGGCUAAUAUUCAGCCUACCGCAGUGGCCCCCUUGCCACUGUCCUUCCUUUCCUUGUCCCCAGCCCUUGUUCCGUGGGCUGUCCCCAGCACAGAACAUGCACACAUUUCACGUCUGUCCCGGGGUUUUCAGAGAGGCCAGAGACAGGGUCUGAAGGGCACAGCUCCCAGUGGCCAUAGCAACAGACACAAACACAUUCGAGGGGAAAAGGAUUGGGAGGAGGCGUUCCUGCCCUAGAGGUGGCAGAAUGACAGCCUGGGCAGUGGUGCCCAGCGGAGACGCGAAAACAGCAGAUACGUGCCCUCAGCCAGCCUCGUAAACCCUCUGGGCUGCGUGUUUCUAGGUAAUCUUCCAACUCCCUUGGCGCCUGUUAAUCCGUGGGCCCCCCGUUGCCUUUCUCCAGGCUAACAGAGGCGUGUCUUUGGCCACAUAUAAACAUGCACCCAGAGGAUUUGGGUGGGGGGGUCGGGGAGGGAGAGUUGGGCUCUGCUUAGACUGGUCAUGUUCUAACCUCAUUUUCCUCUGCUGGGCUGAUUCCCUCGUCUCCACCCCACUCCCCAAUGCCGCUCCCCCCCACCCCACCCCCCGGGCUGGGUUGGCCAUGCCGGGAUGAGUCUGGGGUGUUGUAUGUUUUGCUUUUCAUUUUAUUUUGCAAGUCCCUCCCAACAUUCCCCUCUGUGUUUAACGUCCCACUGCCAAGUGCAUGCUGUUGCCGGGCAACAAGAAGGAAGUCCCUGUGUGAUUCACCUGGCGGCUGCCAAUUAAUUGGCAAGCUGUGAGCUCUGUGUGUCUCCCGGGGCAAGAAGGGCUUCUCCGGGCCCUGGGCCCCGUGGGAGCCAGGGGAGAGGGCCGCUGCCCGGGAGGGAAGGGGACCCGAGGAGCAUUAGCACAACUUUGGGGGUGUUGGGGGUGCUUUUGGGUCCAAAUGAAAGAGAGUGUCUAGAAGGCCCAGGCAACACCUGGGCGAAGACGUACGAUGUCCCCCUGGCCACCAAUCAGAGAGCCACCUGGAGCACCCAGACACCUCUGCAUGGGCAUGUUGGCUGGCUUUCUUUGGGCCUGGGAAGCAGGGCUGGCAAAGGGCUGCCCUUCCUCACCCUCACCACCCACCAGGGAGCUUCCUGGAGGUCCUGACUCAGAUGCAACCAGCUCUUAAGAGGCAGGCACUCUGCAUUGGAUGGAGAAGUCUUAUUUUGGAGAAUACAUACAGAAGGUUCUGGAUUUGAGAAGACAUUUAAGGAGAAAGCAAAGACCCUCGCUCUGAGGAAUAGUGGGUGUGAUGACCUGCAUGCGCUGGGAGAUGCAUCAUUGCUGGGAGCAUCCUACGGAGAAGUCACCGGUAUCCCAGACCUUGCUUUCUCCUUCAUAUGGAAAACCCUUCCUCUGCGGCCGCGGCUCCGAAGGCUGCCCUCCCCCCACCCCCAGGAACCCCAGGGCUUUCUGCCACCCCCUUUCUGCCCGCCCCCCACCUCCACGCCUGCUGUGCAGUGAUUCUUGUUUGCUCCGUCGUCUUCUAGCGGAUACAGAGUGAAUCGUUAACUACACUUAGGUCAAACAGGACCUUAGUUUUUUGUUCCUGCUCCUUCUCAAGACACGUGUGUGCCGCUGAGCGCACAGCCUUGGAGGAGUCUAUUCGGGUCUGGCCGCACGGGUUCCCGAGGGAUGCUCAUCUGUGCAGGGACAUUCCUCAGGCUCUCGGGGACGUUGGCAGGGACUUCGGCGGGGGAGCUGGAUUGUGAGGGCUGGCGUUCUCCAUGCCCAACCGUCUUGGCUGGGAUCACACACGAUCGGACAUCUGGAGGAGCAGAAAACGAGCCCUGUUGUUUAUUCCAGCUGUCUUCUGUUGAGCCGGAGGCACAGUCAGCUGCAAGACCCUCUCCUCUCAGGUGGCCGUUGGGGUCCACACCGGAGCUUGGGGCUUCUUUAUGGACCGUCCAGCUACCAGCGCUGGUGGAAUUUAUGGCGGACCCUCUUCCUCCGGGGCGUGCCGAUGACACACACACCCGGCAAUGGAUUGGGCCCCACGAGACACGAGUCCUGUUCAUUUCGUUCACUCUGUAGCCGCCAUACACAUGGACGGAAAUACUUCCUAGAUGUCUAUCCCUGUCAACCUUGGCCAAAGUGCAGGGCCAAGCAGGCCUGUACUCUCAGUGUCCACAGUGAAUGGAUGGCUUGCCUUUGUAAGAAAGAAUUAAAGCUAGACCUGUCUACCUUCCCUGUGUUGCA